rnacentral:rRNA from 1 species
GACGAACCGUGCGAACGUUGUUCGGAUUCACUGGGCUUAAAGGGCGCGUAGGCGGGCGGUCAAGUCAAGGGUGUAAUCUUUCAGCUUAACUGGAAAAGUGCCUUUGAUACUGAUCGUCUUGAGGGAGGUAGGGGCAUGUGGAACUUCCGGUGGAGCGGUGAAAUGCGUAGAUAUCGGAAGGAACGCCGGUGGCGAAAGCGACGUGCUGGACCUCUUCUGACGCUGAGGCGCGAAAGCUAGGGGAGCAAACGGG